UGAGGAAUAUUGGUCAAUGGGCGAGAGCCUGAACCAGCCAAGUAGCGUGCAGGAUGACGGCCCUAUGGGUUGUAAACUGCUUUUAUGUGGGGAUAAAGUGCGUGACGUGUCAUGCAUUGCAGGUACCACAUGAAUAAGGACCGGCUAAUUCCGUGCCAGCAGCCGCGGUAAUACGGAAGGUCCGGGCGUUAUCCGGAUUUAUUGGGUUUAAAGGGAGCGUAGGCUGUCUAUUAAGCGUGUUGUGAAAUUUACCGGCUCAACCGGUGGCUUGCAGCGCGAACUGGUCGACUUGAGUAUGCAGGAAGUAGGCGGAAUUCAUGGUGUAGCGGUGAAAUGCUUAGAUAUCAUGACGAACUCCGAUUGCGCAGGCAGCUUACUGUAGCAUAACCGACGCUGAUGCUCGAAAGUGCGGGUAUCAAACAGG
rnacentral:rRNA from 1 species